rnacentral:rRNA from 1 species
GAUGAACGCUAGCUACAGGCUUAACACAUGCAAGUCGAGGGGAAACGACAUCGAAAGCUUGCUUUUGAUGGGCGUCGACCGGCGCACGGGUGAGUAACGCGUAUCCAACCUGCCCAUCACUUGGGAAUAACCUUGCGAAAGUAAGACUAAUACCCAAUGAUAUCCCACGAAGGCAUCGGAAUGGGAUUAAAGAUUUAUCGGUGAUGGAUGGGGAUGCGUCUGAUUAGCUUGUUGGCGGGGUAACGGCCCACCAAGGCAACGAUCAGUAGGGGUUCUGAGAGGAAGGUCCCCCACAUUGGAACUGAGACACGGUCCAAACUCCUACGGGAGGCAGCAGUGAGGAAUAUUGGUCAAUGGGCGAGAGCCUGAACCAGCCAAGUAGCGUGCAGGAAGACGGCCCUAUGGGUUGUAAACUGCUUUUAUAAGGGAAUAAAGUGGGUAACGUGUGACUUUUUGCAUGUACCUUAUGAAUAAGGACCGGCUAAUUCCGUG